UGCGUGUUUUUUAACAGUUUCUAUCAUUUUUAGACUCUUCUUUGAAAUUAGGUACAGAAUAUAUGGGGCGUGGCAAACACUGUAAUGCCGAGAGGCGGUAACUCAUUAAAAAACUGAUUUUUUCUGGAAAGACUUAUGUCAGGGUGCAAAAUAUUAUCGGAUGCUCUUCUACAAUGAUUAGAAAUGCAAUCAAAUAUGAACCAACAAAUGAAACUCGUGGUCGGUUCAAGUUAUUGACCAAAAGUUUGGAAACAAUAAGAUGUCUCGGAGAUGAAAACCUCAUUUCAAGAAGUCCACGAAAAGUGCCGUUACUAACAAAAAAACAUGCAGCAAGUUAUGCAACAUUCCGUUUGAAGUUUGCAAGAAAGCACUUGAAUUGGCCUUUGGAGAAGUGGAGGAAUAUUUUGUGGUCGGAUGAGUCCAAGAUAGUUUUGUUUGGAGGCCAUGGCUCUCGGGAGUUUGUUAGACGACCACCCUUAUCUGACUUUUUCCCGAAAUAUACAUUAAAAACGGUUAA